AGUGAGAGGGGAUUUCCUAGAGAUUUGUCGCUGUCCUUGUAGAAAUGACCGGUAACACACGACUGGAUUUAAAAGUUAAGCGCAUUUGUAAUUCGUAUCUGGAUGGAGUGAGAAUAAGUGCCCCACCCUAUAGUUCCCCCUACCCCGGGAACAUCACGGAUAGGAGUUUCAGUAACAGAUAGCCCUGUCGGAUCGUUACCCAAAAAAGUUCCGAGUCUAGCAGCGUAUUGAAGAAGGAAGGCAAGCAGUAAAACAAGAAAUCACAACUUGUACAAUGAAUAAAAGUUUUAAUGAUGGAUGGACAUUUUGUGGACAAAGCUGAAGAUAAAUGGGGAUCAUAUGAGCGGCUGUCAUGAAGAAAGUAAAUGUUCUUGGAAGCCUUUCAUUUCAAAAUAUAUUUGUUCUUCAGAUCUUGGAAACAACUGAAUUGGUGAACAGGGAAAGCCUAUGAGCGCCACCUCCUGACAGUAAUAAACAGUUUACGCACAGCAUAUUGUAGUAAUGAUAACAUAUAUGUUUAUAUCAAAAAAAAUCUAUUGAUAAUUGCAUGUCAUUAUUAUGUUUUGAAAAUUGAUGAUAAAUAAACUAGACUAUGUAAAUAACAGCCAGAUGGAGCUG